CCCUUAGAUGUUCUGGGCCGCACGCGCGCUACACUGACGAAUGCAACGAGCUUAUAACCUUGGCCGAAAGGUCUGGGUAAUCUCCAAAUUUCGUCGUGAUGGGGAUAGAUUAUUGCAAUUAUUAAUCUUCAACGAGGAAUGCCUAGUAAGCGCAAGUCAUCAGCUUGCGUUGAUUACGUCCCUGCCCUUUGUACACACCGCCCGUCGCUCCUACCGAUUGAAUGGUCCGGUGAAGCGCUCGGACCGCGGCCUCUUGACGGUUUUCCGUCGAUUGGCUGUGGGAAGUUCGUUAAACCUNANCAUUUANAGGAAGGAGANGUCGUNACA
rnacentral:rRNA from 1 species